GAGACGUUAGUAAACCGAUUACAUAGACCUGUCAAGACUAAAUCACAGGUGAAAACCCUGUACAUCUCA
rnacentral:tRNA from 1 species